rnacentral:rRNA from 1 species
AUUGAACGCUGGCGGCAUGCUUUACACAUGCAAGUCGGACGAGUGGCGAACGGGUGAGUAAUAUAUCGGAACGUACCCAGUAAUGGGGGAUAACUAAUCGAAAGAGUAGCUAAUACCGCAUAUUAUUCGAGCGGCCGAUAUCGGCUUAGCUAGUUGGUGGGGUAAAGGCCUACAAAGGCGACGAUCCGUAGCGGGUCUGAGAGGAUGAACCGACACACUGGACCUGAGACACGGCCCAGACUCCUACGGGCGGCAGCAGUGGGGAAGUGUGGACAAUGGGCGCAAGCCUGAUCCAGCCAUGCCGCGUGUCUGAAGAAGGCCUUCGGGUUGGAAAGGACUUUUGUCAGGGAGGCGUUACCUGCAGAAUAAGCACCGGCUAACUCCGUGCCAGCAGCCGCGGUAAUAC